GCACUGGCUGAGGUAGUAGUUUGUGCUGUUGGGUCGUGACGCCGCCCGCUAUGGAGAUGACUGCGCAAGCUACUGCCUUGCCGGUGCUG
ensembl:miRNA microRNA let-7i